UUGGAGGGCAAGUCUGGUGCCAGCAGCCGCGGUAAUUCCAGCUCCAAUAGCGUAUAUUAAAGUUGUUGCAGUUAAAAAGCUCGUAGUUGAAUUUCGGGAUCAAAUUGUCGGUCGUGCCUCGGUACGCACUGGUAUUAUUGGUUCCUACCUUCUGAAGAACCGCGAUGUCAUUAAUUUGGUGUCGUGGGGAAUCAGGACUGUUACUUUGAAAAAAUUAGAGUGUUUAAAGCAGGCUUACGCUUGAAUACAUUAGCAUGGAAUAAUGAAAUAGGGCGUUUGAUUCUAUUUUGUUGGUUUCUAGGAUCGACGUAAUGAUUAAUAGGGAUAGUUGGGGGCAUUAGUAUUCAAUUGUCAGAGGUGAAAUUCUUGGAUUUAUUGAAGACUAACUACUGCGAAAGCAUUUGCCAAGGAUGUUUUCAUUAAUCAAGAACGAAAGUUAGGGGAUCGAAGACGAUCAGAUACCGUCGUAGUCCUAACCAUAAACUAUGCCGACUAGGGAUCGGAUGAUGUUAAUUUUUUAAUGACUCAUUCGGCGCCUUACGGGAAAC
rnacentral:rRNA from 1 species